rnacentral:rRNA from 1 species
GACGAACGCUGGCGGCGUGCUUAACACAUGCAAGUCGAACGGAAAGGCCCUGCUUGCAGGGUACUCGAGUGGCGAACGGGUGAGUAACACGUGGGUGAUCUGCCCUGCACUUCGGGAUAAGCCUGGGAAACUGGGUCUAAUACCGGAUAGGAGCCAUUUUUAGUGUGAUGGUUGGAAAGUUUUUUUCGGUGUAGGAUGAGCUCGCGGCCUAUCAGCUUGUUGGUGGGGUAAUGGCCUACCAAGGCGGCGACGGGUAGCCGGCCUGAGAGGGUGGACGGCCACAUUGGGACUGAGAUACGGCCCAGACUCCUACGGGAGGCAGCAGUGGGGAAUAUUGCACAAUGGGCGCAAGCCUGAUGCAGCGACGCCGCGUGGGGGAUGACGGCCUUCGGGUUGUAAACUCCUUUCGCUAGGGACGAAGCUUUUUGUGACGGUACCUAGAUAAGAAGCUCCGGCUAACUACGUG